rnacentral:rRNA from 1 species
GACGAACGCUGGCGGCGUGCCUAAUACAUGCAAGUAGAACGCUGAAGGAGGAGCUUGCUCUUCUGGAUGAGUUGCGAACGGGUGAGUAACGCGUAGGUAACCUGCCUGGUAGCGGGGGAUAACUAUUGGAAACGAUAGCUAAUACCGCAUAAGAGUAGAUGUUGCAUGACAUUUACUUAAAAGGUGCACUUGCAUCACUACCAGAUGGACCUGCGUUGUAUUAUCUAGUUGGUGGGGUAACGGCUUACCAAGGCGACGAUACAUAGCCGACCUGAGAGGGUGAUCGGCCAGACUGGGACGGAGACACGGCCCAGACUCCUACGGGAGGCAGCAGUAGGGAAGCUUCGGCAAUGGACGGAAGUCUGACCGAGCAACGCCGCGUGAGUGAAGAAGGUUUUCGGAUCGUAAAGCUCUGUUGUAAGAGAAGAACGAGUGUGAGAGUGGAAAGUUCACACUGUGACGGUAUCUUACCAGAAAGGGACGGCUAACUACGUG